GGAACCCACUUCUACCUGAUAUGCUUCAAUUUAAGGAAGAUUUGUGUUGACAUAAUUGACAACCGAAGUGGAGACCGUGUAGAUAUCAUGUAUGAUGGAAUACCUGAAGCCCUGCAAGAGAACUUUGGGUUAUACAUGGCACAGAAAAGCCCAAGAAAAAUCAAGUUGUUAAAUAAUGCUCCAGUGCAACGUCUAGAAAUGAAAUGGAGAACUUCAAAUAAGAAUGUAUGUUUGUGAUGCAUCAUAUGGAAACAUAUAUGGGAUAUGCUCUACGCAACUGGGAUUGCAAAUUUGCUGCGGAGGGUAUUGAACAGAAAAGGCAAUUGGAGAAGGCAAGAAAAAUAUAUGCUGCAAAGAUUGUCUACUCAGAAAUAAACAUCUUGAAAGACCACAUGAAAACAGAGAUAAAGUUUGUUAAUCAGAACUAGACUAGACUGAACUUGUAAAAAUAUAUUGAUUAAUCUUGGAUAAUUGUGUUGCAUCAGUAUUUCUGUUCCUGAAGUAUUUGGAUACUGACUGCGUUUCACAUCUGUCAUAUUAAGAUCAUCAGUAUUUUGAUCCUGACAGUUUCAUACA